rnacentral:rRNA from 1 species
AACACGUAUGCAACCUGCCUUCAACAAGGGGAUAACCCGUUGAAAGACGGACUAAUACCCUAUAAUACAGGGGUCCCGCAUGGGGAUAUUUGUUAAAGAUUAAUCGGUUGAAGAUGGGCAUGCGUUCCAUUAGCUAGUUGGUGGGGUAACGGCCCCCCAAGGCAACGAUGGAUAGGGGAACUGAGAGGUUUAUCCCCCACACUGGUACUGAGACACGGACCAGACUCCUACGGGAGGCAGCAGUGAGGAAUAUUGGUCAAUGGACGCAAGUCUGAACCAGCCACGUCGCGUGAAGGAAGACGGCCCUACGGGUUGUAAACUUCUUUUGCAAGGGAAUAAAGUGGGCCACGCGUGGCCUUUUGCAUGUACCUUGCGAAUAAGGAUCGGCUAACUCCGUGCCAGCAGCCGCGGUAAUACGGAGGAUCCGAGCGUUAUCCGGAUUUAUUGGGUUUAAAGGGUGCUCAGGCGGGGGAUUAAGUCGGCGGUGAAAUUUUGCGGCUCAACCGUAAAAGUGCCUUCGAAACUGGUUUCCUUGAGUGUGGAUGAGGUAGGCGGAAUUUGUGGUGUAGCGGUGAAAUGCAUAGAUAUCACGAGGAACUCCGAUUGCGCAGGCAGCUUACCAGGCCAUAACUGACGCUCAAGCACGAAGGCGUGGGGAUCAAACAGGAUUAGAUACCCUGGUAGUCCACGCAGUAAACGAUGAUUACUGGCUGUUUGCGAUACAAUGUAAGCGGCUGAGCGAAAGCGUUAAGUAAUCCACCUGGGGAGUACGUUCGCAAGAAUGAAACUCAAAGGAAUUGACGGGGGCCCGCACAAGCGGAGGAACAUGUGGUUUAAUUCGAUGAUACGCGAGGAACCUUACC